rnacentral:piRNA from 1 species
UGUCAUACCUGGACAGUUGUGGAGUUUGU